rnacentral:tRNA from 1 species
AGCCCCGUAGUGUAGCGGUCAAUCAUCUCGGAUUUUGGAUCCGAGGACCCAGGUUCGAAUCCUGGCGGGGCUA